GUGGGCCCGUCGGGCUCCCGGCUCUGCAGGCCGAGACAUGCCGGCUCUGACCGUGGCGUCCCGGUACCAGCUGGCCCAGCGGAGGAAGGCGAGAGGGUGUUUUCCAGCAAAAGAUCAAAACAUUUCAACACCAAUAAGCUAAGGCUUACUCCCUAUUAAUCAGGAAAGUGCAAAUUAAGACCACUACAGAUACACAGGAACCUGGUAGAAGUGGUGUCUGGGAUACCUGGUCGUAGGGGUGCAGCCAGCCUCAGGAACCAGCGUGGCUUUACCUGGUGAAGUUGAGCACGCACAGACCCCAGGCCCCAACAGAAACAACGUGUCCAGAAAGGCCGCUGUCUCCUCCAAAGCCCUGAUCGCGACCAGGACCUUGCCCCUGAGGAGAAUGGCUACUCUGUGGGUUGAGAGACGUGAACGAGAAGACCCAUGACACUGCAGCCACAAUGACCACAAGGGGUCAGGAUCACAACACAGGGUAACCGAGAGCUGAAGGACUCGACUACAUUGACUUGAGAGGAAGUGUGCCCAGCAAUGGGAAUGAGCGAGCCACAGCUGCGUCAACAAGGAUGAAUCGUAAACAAUGCUGAGUGAAAAGUCACAAAAAUACACACUGUCUGAUUCCAUUUACAUCAAACACCAAACAGUAAUUAGGAAUGAACACAAAUUCAAAUGUAAAAGUUAAAACUCUAAAAGCAUUGUAGAAGCAGCAUAGGAGAACAUCUUUGCAGCCUGGGGGUACACAAAGACUUCUCAGGGGCCCCAAAGCACCGACUGUAGGAAGAAAAUACUGACAAACUAGACUUUAUCAAAAUUAGAAAGCUCUGCUUGGUAAAAACUACUGUUAGUGAGCAGGCAAGCCACAGCCUGGGGGAAAAACGCUGACAAAACAAGUACCCGGUGAAAGACUUGGAUCCACACUAUAUAAAAAGUUCCCACAGACUCAACAAUAACCCCAGCAGCUAUAGGCUUCUGGGGGCUUGUGGCAGGGCCAAGAGGGCUUGUUGGGGGCAGGGCGUGGUCGCAGGAGGCCCCUGCUGCACCCCUGUGAGUAGCAGUGAGCACAGCACUCCCCACCCCCAAUCACUUGAAUUUGUUUUCAGCUACAGUUGGGUCGUACAAAUUAAAGUGGCAUUAAAGGGCACACAGUGAAGUGUACUCUGCCCACAGCCACUUCAGCAUCGCCUUGUGUGACUCCAGAAGCAUUCCUUGCGUACAUCAGCAUGCGUAGACACCUGGCCCAGCCCUUCUUCAUCCCAGGGACACCUGGGUGCACUUCCGCAGCCACUACAGAUGAGGUCGCAGUGAUGGCUUUCCCCAGCCGUGACCUGGGUUGACCAAGCGUAAGCAGAGAAACACAUCCCGUCAGGUGGGGCUGGCCAUCAGCCUGUCCCCCCUGCCAACCCUGUCCUCACAGGACCGUGUGCUGUGGGUUUCUUGUCACUGCCAAAACCAUCACACAUUAGUGGCUUAAACAACGUGCGUUUAUUCUCUCUCGGUUGGGCAGACAGAAGUGGGUGAGGGUCUCACCUGCUGGAGGCAGGUGUGGCGGGCAGAGCCGGACCUGCAGGGUCGGAGGGAGGGUCUGAGUCCCUGCUCAGUCAGGUGGUGGAGGGAUUCAGCGCCUGUGGCUGUUGGGCUGAGGUCCCCGUUUUCUCACUGGCUGUCCCUUGAAGGCCGUGUUCAGCUUCUGGAUGUGGCCCCAUUCCUCAGCCUGGCCCUUCCUGCAUCUUCAAUCUAGCAGUGUAGCCAAGUCCUUGCUUCGUCUCUCCGACCUGCUGGGAUGAUCUCAGCUCCUCUCUCCAUCUCAGUACAUCCCCAUAGCCUCCUACCACGGGAGGAGCCGCAUGCCUGGCUCCCAGGACCAGGACACAGGUGUCUUGGGGAGUUAGCCUGCCAACUGUAUGUGUUUCUGCACCAGGGUGUUGGUGUCCCCUCCAGGUGUAAAGGUGCCCAGCGACCACAGCCAACUGAGAGGCCACUUGCCAAGCUGCCCUUCCACCCACGGUCCAUGUGCUCCUAGGUGAGACUACCCUGCAACUUUCCUUGUGGGGCCAUGUCUGUGAGCAUAUCUAAGGGGCAUCAGCGGGAGGUGAUCUGAGGUGAGAUGCCUCAAUGGGCAGCGAGCAGAGACUGGGUCUGGCACUGACGGGUCCCAUCCUGGUGACCUCACACGGGUAUAUUUAGAGCCAGGUCCCGCAGGGCAAGCACUACUGCCCAGGCACAGCCAGCCGGCGGCACAGAGUGUCCUUGUCUUUGGGUGGAUGUCUUCCUGCUGCCAGACGGGCAAGGAGGCAGAACACCUGGGCAAAGCAGGCGAGCACGUUGAAAAUGGCUGGAACUGGUGCAGGACAGCUGGGAGCCGUGGGGGUGAAGGUCAGGUAAUAGGCAGUGGAGCUAGGCAGCGACUACGUGCUCUUGUGCCCUUGUACUCGGGCAGAGCAGAGGCCUUCAGCUCUUAUGAUGUGUUUGGGGUGCUGGCACUGAGGAGUCGGGGGCUGUGGCUGCCUGGAAGUUCAGGAUCAGCUGGCCUGAUCCCCUGAGCUCUGCUCUCAGCAUCCAGGCCAGCAGGGCCUGGGACAGGAGAGACGUCCUGCCUUGCUUGUCUGGAUGGCCUUUUGCCUGCUUGAUGGUGAAACACGGAGGAGCGUGGGAGCACCAGCCUGGCAGUCCCAAUAUAUGCAGCUGCCCCCUUCCCCCGCCCCAGGACCAAAGCAGACCCCCCUGAGUACACUGGGAGGCUGCCCGGAGAAGGGUCUGGCUUGAGGCCCUCCCCCACCAGAGCCUCCCACAGCUUGCAGUCCGUGCAUGGGGCCUGCUGGGGUGGGGGUUCCUGGCAAUGCCACAUAGUGGAGGAGCCUUCCCCAGAGGCAUGGGCAGCACCAAGUGGGGCUGGGCCCCAGGGGACUGAGAUGGGGACGGCCCUCUGCCCUUCCACCACCCUUACGGGGAGGCCCUGGGGGCGCUCAAGGCACUGCAGGGAGGGCCCCACCCAGACCACUCAGGGCAGGCCAACUGUCAGGCUGAGGGCAGGACAGGUAGGUCAUGAAGAGGGCAGGGUAGGAAGCUUCAGCUGAAAGAAGGGGGACAGAAUACAGGGUGUGUGUCCACAAGCGAUGGGGUAGAGGGCAACUGACCUACCAAAUGGGGAAGUGGGCAAGGCUGGGGAAUGAAGGUGAGGAGCUGGCACCCUGCCUGCCCGGGUCCCCACAGACCACGGUCUCUGUACACUUCCGUCCCUCCGAUCCGGCUCUUUAUAACAGUGUGGCCCUUAGGGGGUUUCUAGUGGUUCUGCUGCCUUAGUCAGGCCCUGCCCCUCUGGACUUCUCCCCAGGACAUGUCCCAGUCAAAUAAACUUCUGGAAACCACAUGCCAAACAGCUUUCCUAAAGAAUAGGAAACACACCAGCCAGGUCUGAGCCUGCGGCCAGAUGGGCAUAAUGACUGGAGCACAGUUCUGCCUGCCCCACUCACUUAUGUCCAUCCACCCUGCUCUGCUGGAAGACAGGACGCAGGGAAAGGGUGACUGCUGCUCCAGCCCUGCCCAUCCCAGGAGGUCCUGGCCCCUGCCAACGACAACACUUGCAUAAAAAUCCAGGGUCCUGUUGGCCUCCGCCAAGCCCAGGAUCCCGAACCCAAGGAGCUGCUCCCUCUGAAAUCCCGGGACCAGGAGGCGGGCUGCACUGAGAAACCCUGCCCACAGCAACGCAAGUGAUGUGCCACCAAAACAAACCCCGCCUGAGCAAGUCCGCAGCUAACCCUCACCACAGGUCUCACACCUCUGCUUCCCAAGUCAGAUCAUCCGCCCAGAGCCUGGCCCCAGGGGCUGGGACAGACCCCAACACUGAAAGCAGCCCCCACAUAGGGGGAUUUCUGGGUCGGUCUGAAACAGGAACCGAGAGAUAGGGCUCUAAUGUCUGCAUAGACGUGCACUCUCACCGCCCCCUCCAUACCCAAAAGGCCCCCUGCAGAAAGCCCCACCUCCGGGAACUGACAGCAGGUGUGCAGAUGCACUGGGAAGGGGGAC